AUGCCCUGUUCCCAUUGGUCCAGAGACCUUAACCUUCAAACCCCAAAUCAGUUCCCCGGCUCUCAGUCGAUUUCUCCGCAACCCCUUCGAAGCCUACUUCCUAGGGGCCAAUCCCACUCCAGAUCUGGGGCCUCUCACUGGAUACCCUCUUCCGAGCAUCACUUUCUUCCUACUCAGACCCAGAAUUUCUCAAUCCCAGGCCACCACCCUCCUCCGUUAACUCCGCACCCCACCGUGGCCGCCUCUCUCCGCCCCCGCAGGCGGCCCCCCUUCCUCCCAGAGCUGCAGGCCAGGGCCCUCUCGGCUCCCUCGCCGCGGCCCCGGCUGCCGGGAGGGCGGCGGCCCGGCCACGCCGCGCAGGGACCGUCCCGGCAGAGGCGGCACCCCCGCCUCCGGGCGGCCGCAGCGGGGCGGGGGCGGGGCGGCUCGCAGGCCCCACCUCAGCGCAGCCCGGCCGUGGACUCCCGCAAACGGCGGCCGGGCUCGGAGGGGCCGCGGCCGAGCCGGCGACAGAGCCCGUGCUUCUCACCUCGACGCGGAAGCUCAGGCCUCGCUCUCCCCUCAGCGAUGGCUACGCCGCCGUCGCGCUCUCCUCACUCGCUUUUCACCGCCCCCGACCGGCUGCUGAAGAGCGGACAGACAGCGGUGCGCCCAUUGGCUGUGGCCGCUCUGGCGUCAGCGGGUCCCGACCGCGCCUCGGGGUCUGAUUGGCUGGCGCGGUGCCUCUUUUCCACGUCUGCUCCUGAUUGGCUCUCGCGCACACCCUUCCCGGGAGAACCGCUCACCCUCCACUCUUCUUCAGCCUCCCACCCCAAACCAGGUUCCCCCCGCGGGCGCGACGGCCAAUGGGGGAGCGGAGAGAUGCAGGGAGGUGGGCGGCUGGGCGGCGUGAUGGGGAAAAGCGUAGCCAAUGGGAGCGCGCCGCACAUCCCGGCUCAGCAGCGCCGCCCCUGGCCGCCAGCGUCCCGGAGGGUCGCGCCCCGAGCCACGCCCGAGUGCCCUGGCGCGGGAGCCCAACUCGCGCGAAAGAUGUAGCCAGCACCAUAUCUUCCUGCAUGCCACCAUGUUCCAAGCCAUGAUGAUAAUGGACUGAACCUCUGAAACUUAAGUAAGCCACGCCAAAUAAAUGUUUUCUUUAUAAGAAUUGCCA
rnacentral:lncRNA from 1 species